GCCGGGGUUAGCCGGCUGCCCGCCCCGCCGCCGCGCCCGGCCACCAUGCAGGCGCCGCCGCCGCCCUACGACUUCUUCUGCGAGGAGAACGCGCCCAAGUGGCGGGGGCUGCUGGUGCCCGCGCUGAAGAAGGUCCAGGGACAAGUUCAUCCUACACUUGAGUCUAGUGAUGAUGCUCUUCAGUAUGUUGAAGAAUUAAUUUUGCAGCUGUUAAAUAUGUUAUGCCAAGCUCAGCCCCGAAGUGCUUCAGAUGUAGAGGAACGUGUUCAGAAAAGUUUCCCUCAUCCAAUUGAUAAGUGGGCAAUCGCUGAUGCCCAAUCAGCUAUUGAAAAGAGGAAGCGAAGAAAUCCUUUAUCUCUCCCAGUAGAAAAAAUUCAUCCAUUAUUAAAGGAAGUCCUGGGUUAUAAAAUUGACCACCAGGUUUCUGUUUACAUAGUAGCAGUAUUAGAAUACAUUUCUGCAGACAUUUUAAAGCUGGUGGGGAAUUAUGUACGGAACAUACGGCACUAUGAAAUUACAAAACAAGACAUUAAAGUGGCAAUGUGUGCUGACAAGGUAUUGAUGGAUAUGUUUCAUCAAGAUGUAGAAGAUAUAAACAUCUUGUCUUUAACUGAUGAAGAACCUUCCACCUCAGGAGAGCAAACUUACUAUGAUUUGGUGAAAGCAUUUAUGGCUGAAAUUCGACAAUAUAUAAGGGAACUAAAUUUAAUUAUCAAAGUUUUUAGAGAGCCCUUUGUCUCCAACUCAAAAUUGUUUUCAACUAAUGAUGUAGAAAAUAUAUUCAGUCGUAUAGUAGAUAUACAUGAACUGAGUGUGAAGUUACUGGGCCAUAUAGAAGAUACUGUAGAAAUGACAGAUGAAGGCAGUCCCCAUCCCUUAGUAGGAAGCUGCUUUGAAGACUUAGCAGAGGAGUUGGCAUUUGAUCCCUAUGAAUCAUAUGCUCGAGAUAUCUUACGGCCUGGUUUUCAUGAUCGCUUUCUUAGUCAGCUAUCAAAGCCCGGGGCAGCACUCUAUCUGCAGUCAAUAGGCGAAGGUUUCAAAGAAGCCGUUCAGUACGUCCUGCCCAGGCUGCUUCUAGCCCCCGUCUACCACUGUCUGCAUUACUUUGAACUUUUGAAGCAGUUAGAAGAAAAGAGUGAAGAUCAAGAAGACAAAGAAUGUUUGAAGCAAGCAAUAACAGCUCUGCUUAAUGUCCAAAGUGGGAUGGAAAAAAUCUGUUCUAAAAGUCUCGCGAAACGAAGACUGAGUGAAUCUGCCUGUCGGUUUUAUAGUCAGCAAAUGAAGGGGAAACAGCUCGCAAUCAAGAAAAUGAACGAGAUUCAGAAGAACAUUGAUGGCUGGGAGGGGAAGGACAUCGGACAGUGUUGUAAUGAGUUUAUCAUGGAAGGAACUCUCACACGUGUUGGAGCCAAACACGAGAGACACAUAUUUCUCUUCGAUGGCUUAAUGAUUUGCUGUAAAUCUAAUCACGGGCAGCCAAGACUUCCUGGUGCUAGCAAUGCAGAAUAUCGUCUUAAAGAAAAGUUUUUUAUGAGGAAGGUACAAAUCAAUGACAAAGACGACACCAGUGAGUACAAGCAUGCCUUUGAAAUUAUCCUAAAAGAUGAAAGUGUGAUCUUUUCUGCCAAGUCAGCGGAGGAGAAGAACAAUUGGAUGGCGGCCUUGAUAUCGCUGCAGUACCGGAGCACCCUGGAGAGGAUGCUGGACGUGACCGUGCUCCAGGAAGAGAAGGAGGAGCAAAUGCGCCUCCCCAGCGCCGAGGUUUACAGGUUUGCGGAGCCUGACUCGGAAGAGAACAUCCUAUUUGAAGAAAACAUGCAGCCCAAAGCUGGGAUUCCCAUCAUCAAAGCAGGAACUGUUAUUAAACUCAUAGAGAGACUCACAUACCAUAUGUAUGCAGAUCCCAAUUUUGUUCGGACAUUUCUUACAACAUACAGAUCCUUCUGUAAACCUCAAGAACUACUGAGUCUUAUAAUAGAAAGGUUUGAAAUUCCAGAGCCUGAGCCAACAGAAGCUGAUCGCAUAGCUAUAGAAAAUGGAGAUCAGCCCUUGAGUGCAGAACUGAAAAGAUUUAGAAAAGAAUAUAUACAGCCUGUACAGCUACGAGUACUAAAUGUGUGUCGACACUGGGUAGAGCACCACUUCUAUGAUUUUGAAAGAGAUGCAGACCUUUUGCAACGAAUGGAAGAAUUUAUUGGAACAGUAAGAGGUAAAGCAAUGAAGAAGUGGGUUGAAUCCAUCACUAAAAUAAUCCAAAGGAAAAAGAUUGCAAGAGACAAUGGGCCCGGCCAUAACAUCACGUUUCAGAGUUCACCUCCCACUGUUGAGUGGCACAUAAGCAGGCCUGGGCACACAGAGACCUUCGACUUGCUCACCUUACACCCAAUAGAAAUUGCUCGGCAGCUCACUCUACUUGAAUCAGAUCUAUAUCGAGCUGUACAGCCAUCAGAAUUAGUUGGAAGUGUGUGGACUAAAGAAGACAAAGAAAUUAAUUCUCCUAACCUUCUGAAAAUGAUCCGACACACGACUAACCUCACCCUAUGGUUUGAGAAGUGUAUUGUAGAAACGGAAAACUUAGAAGAAAGGGUAGCUGUGGUGAAUCGAAUCAUUGAGAUUCUGCAAGUCUUUCAGGAGCUGAACAACUUCAAUGGUGUCCUGGAGGUGGUGAGCGCCAUGAACUCAUCCCCGGUCUACCGGCUGGACCACACCUUCGAGCAAAUACCAAGUCGCCAAAGGAAAAUUUUAGAAGAAGCUCAUGAAUUAAGUGAAGAUCACUAUAAGAAAUAUUUGGCAAAACUCAGGUCUAUUAAUCCACCAUGUGUGCCUUUCUUUGGAAUUUACUUAACGAAUAUCCUGAAAACAGAAGAAGGCAAUCCUGAGGUCCUAAAAAGGCAUGGAAAAGAGCUUAUAAACUUUAGCAAAAGGAGGAAAGUAGCAGAAAUCACAGGAGAGAUUCAGCAGUACCAAAAUCAGCCUUAUUGUUUACGAGUAGAAUCUGAUAUCAAAAAGUUCUUUGAAAACUUGAAUCCAAUGGGAGCUAGCAUGGAAAAAGAAUUUACUGAUUAUCUGUUCAACAAAUCCCUAGAAAUAGAGCCACGCAACUCUAAACCUCCUCCCAGAUUUCCCAAAAAAUAUAGCUACCCCCUCAAAUCUCCUGGUGUUCGGCCAUCAAACCCUAGACCAGGUCCCAUGAGGCACCCCACCCCUCUGCAGCAGGAGCCAAGGAAGAUCAGCUACAGCCGGAUCCCCGAGAGUGAGCCAGAGAGUACAGCAUCCGCACCAAACUCUCCCCGGACCCCACUCACACCUCCUCCCGCGUCUGGAGCUUCAAGUACCACUGAUGUCUGCAGCGUGUUUGAUUCCGACCAUUCAAGCCCCUUUCAUUCAAGCAGCGAUACCGUCUUUGUCCAGCUCACACAGCCCCACGGCCCACGGUCUGCGUCAGUAUCAUCGAUCAGCUUCAAGAGCACCGAAGCAGCGCCUGUCCCCCCUCCUGUCCCUCCGAGGAGACGCCCAGAGUCGGCCCCCGCAGAAUCCUCACCCUCUAAGGUCCUGCCGAAGCCACUGGACAACCCCCCGGCCAUCCCACCCCGGCAGCCCACGGCCAAAGCCUACUCACCGCGCUACUCCCUGUCCGAACCCCCCGACAGCCCUGGGCCGCCGCUGCUUCCCCCGCGGGAGCCUGUUCGCACCCCGGACGUCUUCUCCAGCUCGCCGCUGCGCCUGCAGCCACCCCCACCCGGCAGGAAGGGCGAGCCGGGCGCCGCCUUCUUCCCCAGCAGUCCGGCACCCUUCACACCACCGCCGCCACAGACGCCCUCCCCGCACGGGCCCCGAAGACAGCUGCCCUCGCCGCCCGCGCGGGACCCCGACCCGCAGCCCCUGGCCGGGCCGCCUGUGCCCCCGCGGCAGAGCGCAGCUCAGCUCAUCCCCAAGCUGCCUCCCAAGACCUACAAGCGGGAGCACCCGGCCGUGCACAGGGACGCUCCACCGCUGCUGCAGAACGCCCACUCCUGAGGCGCGGCCACUGCUGGGUGAGGCCCAGCGCCCACCAAAGGCAGCACCCGGCCUGCACGGCACCCCUGGGCCCAGCCGGGAGCAGCCAGCCCGAGGUGCCCCAACCCAAGGACAGGACGCCCGGCCGCAGGUGUGGCGCUCGGCAAGCCAGCUGGCCCAGGUGCGAAGGAGCAGGACGCAGGCCACACCUGGCAAGGCGGCCUGAUUCGACAGUAUGCACUUUUCACGAAAGAAACCUUAAACAGGGACCUUCAGGCCCUCCCUUGUUUCCCUUUGCUUUCCUCUUCCUACUUUAGAAUAUUUUCCUAAAAAUCACUCAGAGGACUGUGAAGAAAGGCUGUGGGCCCAACUGUGGGAACGGGGCCCAGCACUGAACUGCAGUCCUGUUUACAGAUUGUGACGGUGAACAGCGUGGGUACCGAGGCUUCACCAAAGAGGGCUGUUCAGGACAGCACCCCUGCCCUCACCAUCAAUACUACGCAUGCGUCACUCCUCAGACUAUGGGCCGGCAGGCUUCCUGAGGCUCACAUGAACUCUGGCUGGAGAGCCUGCAGCGUGUCGGAGAAGACCAACUGCUGAUUUCCUCAGGACCUGCCCAUCUGAGUGAAGAGGCCCUGCCCCGGCACCUUUGGCCACGCUGCUGUCGUCUGAGACCCACCACUCUAUAGUCACUUCUUGUGCCACCCACCAGAGCAUUGAAAGGACAUCACAGUGGCACGCUGUGUGCACCUGUAAGACCUGAGUGUCAUCACCAAGCAGUCCACCCUCUUAUGCCCUUUCUUACUUGCUAGAGGUGAAUCUUUUUUUGUUUGUUUGUUUGUUUUUUGUUUUAUCUCUUCUAUUCCUCCUACAAUAGCCAUUUUUCUCUCUGUGAGUUGCGUCCUCUUUAAAAUCUUUCCCUCCCUGACCCCCCCGCACACACACACAGUGUCAAAUCCAUUCUUACACAGUUUCCAUAAGACCAUUCAAGUAUUUCUAAAUUAGUGCUGCUACAAGUCAUCAGAACACACAUCCUGAGUCUCCAUGGCCAUGUCUGAGACCAGCCAUACUGUCCCAAGGACUCUCCUUCAUGUCUUAAUUGCUCACGCAUCUUUUAGUUGCUCCUAGCCUGCUCUAACAGAGCCUGAGAUAAGUCACCUUGGAGUCCAUCCAGACCUCUCUCUGGCCUGUGUGCUAGUCUGGAACAUGACAACACCCUCAUUUCAGUCUGCCUCAUCUGCAGAAAGCAAGCACUCAACGGGCAGUCCUCACCCUCCAGGGAGCCAUCCUGCCACUGGAUAGGCUGGGUGUCCGGAAGUGGAGGUGAGAUGGGUGGAACUUGACCUGGUGGGCAAGUGUGUUCUCCACAGUACCUGUCCCACACCCCCUCGGGCAGGACAUGCUCUGGCCACCAGGCUCUGCUGCUGAACCCAGAGCCUCAGCCCUCAGUGCAGUUGGACUCUAAAGUCAAUCCUCAAGGUGGGGGUGCUCAGAUGCUUCAUCUCUGGGCCACAGGAAGAAGACACUGGAAGGAUGAAUUUACAAACUGGGCUGAUAAUAAUACAAAGAGGCCUGUCCUAUCUCAGCACCUUUAAGAAUCAGGUAAGUGCUCCCUCUGGCAACACAUCUACUAAAAUUGGAAUGAAACAGAGGAGACUGAUUUCUGCACAAGGAUGAUAUGCAAGAUUGUGAAACAUCCAGUAUUUAAAAAGAAAGAAACAGAUAAGCGUGUUUGUCUUCACAUCUACUGAAGGAGGUUCUUUACUACCCCCCCCCCCCCCCCGGCACUGACUUGAAGAUCAAAAACCAAACCAACCGGAGACCAUCUUAAAUGAAUGUAUUUUAAAACUACCAGUCAUCAGGAGCUGACAUGAACUUUAAGUCUGCUCUGUUAGACACUGCUGGCUAUCCAGUGUUGAGUAGGUCGCUACUACUAUCAACUCAAGGGUGUUUGUUGUAAGGGAUCUGAACCUUGAGAGGAGCAUGCCAUACUCAGUCACUCAGCAGUCGACUACCAUCUAGUGAUCAAAUAUUACUUCUGUUGGAGGCAA